rnacentral:rRNA from 1 species
UGGGGAAUCUUGCACAAUGGGCGAAAGCCUGAUGCAGCAACGCCGCGUGAGUGAUGAAGGUCUUUGGAUUGUAAAGCUCUUUCGAUCAGGAAGAAGGGUCAGCAUGUUAAUACCACAUUGAUUUGACGGUACUGAUAUAAGAAGCACUGGCUAAUUCCGUGCCAGCAGCCGCGGUAAUACGGAAGGUGCAAGCGUUGUUCGGAGUGACUGGGCGUAAAGGGCGCGUAGGCUGGAAGAUAAGACGAUUGUGAAAACCCCGGGCUCAACCUGGGACAUGCAGUCGUGACUGUUUUUCUUGAAUGUCUAAGAGGUUAGUGGAAUUCCAGGUGUAGGAGUGAAAUCCGUAGAUAUCUGGAGGAACAUCGGAGGCGAAGGCGGCUAACUGGUGGAGCAUUGACGCUGAGGCGCGAAAGUGCGGGGAGCAAACAGGAUUAGAUACCCCUGUAGUCC